rnacentral:rRNA from 1 species
GACGAACGCUGGCGGCGUGCUUAACACAUGCAAGUCGAACGGAAAGGCCCUGCUUUUGUGGGGUGCUCGAGUGGCGAACGGGUGAGUAACACGUGAGUAACCUGCCCUUGACUUUGGGAUAACUUCAGGUAACUGGGGCUAAUACCGGAUAGGAGCUCCUGCUGCAUGGUGGGGGUUGGAAAGUUUCGGCGGUUGGGGAUGGACUCGCGGCUUAUCAGCUUGUUGGUGGGGUAGUGGCUUACCAAGGCUUUGACGGGUAGCCGGCCUGAGAGGGUGACCGGCAAAAUGGGGACUGAGAUACGGCCCAGACUACUACGGGAGGCAGCAGUGGGGAAUAUUGCACAAUGGGCGGAAGCCUGAUGCAGAAACGCCGCGUGCGGGAUGACGGCCUUCGGGUUGUAAACCGCUUUCGCCUGUGACGAAGCGUGAGUGACGGUAAUGGGUAAAGAAGCACCGGCUAACUACGUG